rnacentral:rRNA from 1 species
AAUCUGCCUAGUAGUGGGGGAUAGCUCGGGGAAACUCGAAUUAAUACCGCAUACGACCUACGGGUGAAAGGGGGCGCAAGCUCUUGCUAUUAGAUGAGCCUAAAUCAGAUUAGCUAGUUGGCGGGGUAAAGGCCCACCAAGGCGACGAUCUGUAACUGGUCUGAGAGGAUGAUCAGUCACACCGGAACUGAGACACGGUCCGGACUCCUACGGGAGGCAGCAGUGGGGAAUAUUGGACAAUGGGGGCAACCCUGAUCCAGCCAUGCCGCGUGUGUGAAGAAGGCCUUUUGGUUGUAAAGCACUUUAAGCAGGGAGGAGAGGCUAAUGGUUAAUACCCAUUAGAUUAGACGUUACCUGCAGAAUAAGCACCGGCUAACUCUGUGCCAGCAGCCGCGGUAAUACAGAGGGUGCGAGCGUUAAUCGGAAUUACUGGGCGUAAAGCGAGUGUAGGUGGCUCAUUAAGU